UACGUAGGGAGCAAGCGUUGUCCGGAAUCAUUGGGCGUAAAGCGCGCGUAGGCGGCCCCGUAAGUCCGCUGUGAAAGUCAAAGGCUCAACCUUUGAAAGCCGGUGGAAACUGUGGGGCUGGAGUCCGGAAGAGGCGAGUGGAAUUCCUGGUGUAGCGGUGGAAUGCGCAGAUAUCAGGAGGAACACCAAUAGCGAAGGCAGCUCGCUGGGACGGUACUGACGCUAAGGCGCGAAAGCGUGGGGAGCGAACAGG
rnacentral:rRNA from 1 species